GGUUGACCUCGGAUCAGGUAGGAAUACCCGCUGAACUUAAGCAUAUCAAUAAGCGGAGGAAAAGAAACCAACAGGGAUUGCCUCAGUAACGGCGAGUGAAGCGGCAACAGCUCAGAUUUGAAAUCUGGCCUCUUCGGGGUCCGAGUUGUAAUUUGUAGAGGAUGUUUCGGGUACCGCCUCGGUUUAAAUUUCUUGGAACAGAAUGUCAGAGAGGGUGAGAAUCCCGUCUUGGACCGGCGGUAGGGCCCAUGUGAAACUCCUUCGACGAGUCGAGUUGUUUGGGAAUGCAGCUCAAAAUGGGUGGUAAAUUUCAUCUAAAGCUAAAUAUUGGCCAGAGACCGAUAGCGCACAAGUAGAGUGAUCGAAAGAUGAAAAGAACUUUGAAAAGAGAGUUAAACAGUAUGUGAAAUUGUUGAAAGGGAAGCGCUUACAACCAGACUUGAGCGCGGCGGUUCCCCCUUCCUUUUGGUUGGGUUACUCCGCCGUGUCCAGGCCAACAUCGGUUCUGGGGGUCGGUUAAAGGCCUGGGGAAUGUAUCUACUCCUUCGGGGGUAGACUUAUAGCCCCGGGUGUCAUGCGACCACCCGGGACCGAGGAACGCGCUUCGGCUCGGAUGUUGGCGUAAUGGUUGUCAGCGACCCGUCUUGAAACACGGACCAAGGAGUCUAA
rnacentral:rRNA from 1 species